rnacentral:rRNA from 1 species
GAUGAACGCUGGCGGCGUGCCUAAUACAUGCAAGUCGAGCGAACGGACGAGAAGCUGGCUUCUCUGAUGUUAGCGGCGGACGGGUGAGUAACACGUGGAUAACCUACCUAUAAGACUGGGAUAACUUCGGGAAACCGGAGCUAAUACCGGCUGAUAUUUUGAACCGCAUGGUUCAAAAGUGAAAGACGGUCUUGCUGUCACUUAUAGAUGGAUCCGCGCUGCAUUAGCUACUUGGUAGGGUAACGGCUUACCAAGGCAACGAUGCGUAGCCGAUCUGAGAGGAGGAUCGGCCACACUGGAACUGAGACACGGUCCAGACUCCUACGGGAGGCAGCAGUAGGGAAUCUUCGGCAAUGGGCGCAAGCCUGACGGAGCCACGCCGCGUGAGUGAAGAAGGUCUUCGGAUCGUAAAACUCUGUUAUUGGGGAAGAACAGAUGUGUAAGUAACUGUGGACAUCUUGACGGUACCUAAUCAGAAAGCCACGGCUAACUUCGUG